UACUCACAGUAAGAACAGAAUUUCUUUGGACCCAAGACUCUAUAUUCUUCAGAUUAGGGGUGAAGGCACCUCAGUAACUGGGCAAGGGAUCAUGAAGAGAAAAUGGGGAGCCCUGCUGGGGUUUCUGUGGGUCCAGAUUUGCUGGGUGAGGGGAGUGAAGGUGGAGCAGAGUCCUUCAGUCUUGAGCCUCCAGGAGGGAGCCAACUCUACUCUGAGGUGCAAUUUUUCUGCCACGGUGAGCAGUGUGCAGUGGUUCCAGCAGAAUCCCGGAGGCAGCCUCACCAGGCUCUUUUUCAUAGCUUCAGGGAUGAAGCAGAAUGAAAGGCUGAGUUCCACAGUGAAUUCUAAGGAGCGGUAUAGUACCCUACACAUCACAGCCUCCCAGCUGGAAGACGCAGCCACCUACCUCUGUGCGGUGCAGGCACAGUGCUCCCAGGUGAUCUGCAGCCUGUACCCAAACUGCAGCUGCCUCAGCCCCAGCCCUCCACAGUACUACACCAUCCAAGUUCCUUGUUACUUCUUUGGAUUUCCAGAUUCAUAAUUCAGCAUUUUUUCCUCUGAAGAUCAGAUCCUUUAGGACUGUCAUUUCACUUUUUUUUUUUUUUUCCCUUCUUCUUCCCAGAAAUCUCUCAUGGAUACAAAGCUCUAAUAUGGAG